rnacentral:antisense_RNA from 2 species
CCCCAUGGCGGGCCGACACGAGGCAGCCGCAAGGCUGGCCGGCUUGGUGUUUGCAUCGGUCUUCCACCCUCGUCGUCAGGCCCGCCGCCCUC